rnacentral:rRNA from 1 species
GAUGAACGCUGGCGGCGUGCCUAAUACAUGCAAGUCGAGCGAACAGACGAGGAGCUUGCUCCUCUGACGUUAGCGGCGGACGGGUGAGUAACACGUGGAUAACCUACCUAUAAGACUGGGAUAACUUCGGGAAACCGGAGCUAAUACCGGAUAAUAUAUUGAACCGCAUGGUUCAAUAGUGAAAGACGGUUUUGCUGUCACUUAUAGCUGGAUCCGCGCUGCAUUAGCUAGUUGGUAAGGUAACGGCUUACCAAGGCGACGAUGCCUAGCCGACCUGAGAGGGUGAUCGGCCACACUGGAACUGAGACACGGUCCAGACUCCUAAGGGAGGCAGCAGUAGGGAAUCUUCCGCAAUGGGCGAAAGCCUGACGGAGCAACGCCGCGUGAGUGAUGAAGGUCUUCGGAUCGUAAAACUCUGUUAUUAGGGAAGAACAGAUGUGUAAGUAACUGUGCACGUCUUGACGGUACCUAAUCAGAAAGCCACGGCUAACUACGUG